ensembl:piRNA 21ur-4616 ncRNA
UGCCUAUUCGUCAAAUUUGAA